rnacentral:lncRNA from 12 species
GUUGGAAAGUUGGUAAAUUCCAUGACAUGAUGCAGAUGUAGCUUGUAGGUAAGAUUCUUGAUGAUGUGGGUCUUCUCUGGCAUUUUCUUUUAUUUUGCAGAAUGAGAUCACCAUGGAUGGGCAGCUACUGACAGCGAGGGUUCUGAGAAUUCUCUAAGGGUCACUGAGGGUGACCCUACUGUAACUGCUCAAGGAAAUAUAUAAGGAAGUGACUUAACACAAUUGGCAUGCAGUAGAUGGCUUGGCUCAGUUUUUUAAGUGGGAAUUCAGAAGAGGAAGAGAUUUUACUCUAAUUACAUUAAUUUAUCACUUGCUUUUAAAACUAAUUUUCCAACUGGCUUUCUGCACG